AAGUCGUAACAAGGUUUCCGUAGGUGAACCUGCGGAAGGAUCAUUAUCGAUUCAACCACAAAUGAGAGGGGGAUUGGUCAACAAAGUUGUAGCUGGCUCUUCACGGAGCAUGUGCACACUAAGACUUUUCCCUUUCUUCAUUUACACACCCUUGUGAACUUGUUGUAGGGUGCCUUCACUGGCAUCCUAUGUCUUUUCAUAUACACCAUUACAUGUUUAUAGAAUGUAUACUUUUGCUCUCGUCAGAGACAAAAAUAAAGCCUUUAUAACUUUCAGCAACGGAUCUCUUGGCUCUC
rnacentral:misc_RNA from 1 species